rnacentral:misc_RNA from 1 species
GCCAUGAGAGAUAUCCAAUUCUUUAAAAGAUGGAGGCAAUGGUGGCCACAUAAAAACAGGCCUUUCAUUGGGCACUGGUGGUGGUGCUGCUUCCCCUUUCAGAACCUGCAAAACUAUUUUCAUUGAGGGCCUCUUGUGUGGGUUUGGGUGGCAACAUGCCAAUCCCAGAAUAAACGCACACUCCAUAUCUUCUGUUGCGAAGUCCCCAUUCAAUCUGGAAUCUGCAGCACUGAGUAUCCUUCCCUUGCUAUAGAGGUCCCAUACCCAAUGCACGAUGUUACUGUUGUAGUCAUCCUGCUGGCUUUGAC